rnacentral:ncRNA from 1 species
AUAAUAAAAUGAGAAGACCCUAUGGAGCUUUAAUUAACUAACCCAAAAGUAGAACAACUCAACCAUAAAGGGAUAACAAAAACUUCAACAUGGGUUGGCAAUUUCCGUUGGGGUGACCUCGGAGAACAAAAAAACCUCCGAGCGAUUUCAGUCUAGACAGACCAGUCAAAACAAUGAUAAAUAUCACUUAUUGAUCCAAACUCUUGAUCAAAAGAACAAGUUACCCCAGGGAUAACAGCGCAAUCCUAUUCUAGAGUUCUUAUCGACAAUUUUAGGACCUCGAUGUUGGAUUACAACACCCAAAUGGUGCAACCGCUAUUAAAGGUUCGUUUGUUCAGUGAUUAAAGUCCUAUGUGAUCUGAAUUCAGACUGGAAUAAUCCAGGUCGGUUUCUAUCUAUUAU